AUGGCUUCAGCAGCAUAUAUGCUACAAUUAGAGCAAUACAGAGAAAACUGACAUGGUCCAUGCACAAGGAUGAUGUAUGGAUUCAUGAAGCAUUCCCUAUUUUU